rnacentral:rRNA from 1 species
CAAUAGCGUAUAUUUAAGUUGUUGCAGUUAAAAAGCUCGUAGUUGGAUUUCGGGUGUGAACGACCGGUCCGUCUUUGAUGUGUACUGGUUGGUUGCGCCUUAUUGUCGAGGACGUGGUUCUAGCUUUCAUUAGCCGGGACACGGAGUCGGCAGCGUUACUUUGAGAAAAUUAGAGUGUUCAAAGCAGGCUAUCGCUCUGAAUACUACAGCAUGGAAUAACACGAUAGGACUCCGAGCCUAUUCUGUUGGUCUUUGGGACCGGAGUAAUGAUUAAGAGGGACAGUUGGGGGCAUUCGUAUUCCGAUGUCAGAGGUGAAAUUCUUGGAUUAUCGGAAGACGAACAUCUGCGAAAGCAUUUGCCAAGGAUGUUUUCAUUAA